rnacentral:lncRNA from 1 species
UCCGGUUCACUAAUUCUAUAACUAUUUGCGGAAGAUAUAAACAUAAAUUGUUUAUACAUUAAACUUUACACACUAUUUCCCCAAAAUCGAGUAACCUUAACUAAUACACAAUCAUAAACUAUCUAACACAUGACAAAACUAUUCUUCAACCAUACUUUUAAAAAUUAGCUGCACAUUCUAUCCCAAGCUGAACUUGGCAUUUUCCUUUUCCUGUAACUGGCCGUAUUCGCCUUAUCUGCAAUGUUUUAUCAUGAUAUAGCAAGGGUGAGCAUGAAAGUUGCCCAGCAAGUUUAAAAACAAUGUAAAGAUAUAUCAUGAUUGAAAGAGUUUGAAUAAUAAACUGGCUAUCCUUCACAAUGUAUUUGUGAAUUAGCAUGAACAAAAUUUUGACUGAACAAGUAUUGAACAGGAACAAUAAUAUAUCUGGAUCAACUGGUAAUGAAGGUGAUCAACCUUUCAUACCUGACGCAUACAUGCAAGAUGUAUAGAGUACAAUUAUCCAUGACAAUCAGCAAUGAUUAACCAUAAACAUAUCUGAAUGAAACUACUCUUAAUAGUGUUAAGUAAAAACAAACUUGCCUGAACCGUUGAUUACCGUAACGCAAUAUAAUAAGCUUCGUCUGAAGACCUAAUAUUAAUAAUACAGAUCUCCAAUAUUAGAAUAAUAUCAUCACAGUAUAAUACUGUUAUAGAAUAACCUAAACACAUAACACAUAA